rnacentral:rRNA from 1 species
AGUGAACGCUGGCGGUAGGCCUAACACAUGCAAGUCGAACGGCAGCACAGUAAGAGCUUGCUCUUACGGGUGGCGAGUGGCGGACGAGAGAGGAAUACAACGGAAUCUACUUUUUCGUGGGGGAGAACGUAGGGAAACUUACGCUAAUACCGCAUACGACCUACGGGUGAAAGCAGGGGAUCUUCUGACCUUGCGCGAUUGAAUGAGCCGAUGUCGGUUUAGCUAGUUGGCGGGGUAAAGGCCCACCAAGGCGACGAUCCGUAGCCGGACUGGGAGGACGAUAGCCCACAUGGGAACUGAGACACGCUCCCUAGUCCUACGGGAGGCACCAGAGGGGAAUGUUGGACAAUGGGCGGAAGCCUGAUCCAGCCGUACCGCGUGUGUGAAAACGGCCUUCGGUGUGUAAUGCCCUUUUGUUGGUAAAGAACAGCAGCAGGUUAAUACCCCGCUGUUCUGACGGUACCCAAAGAAUAAGCACCGGCUAACUUCGUG